rnacentral:lncRNA from 10 species
AUUAAAUAAUACCAUGUAGUAGGGUGACGUUUCCUUUCGCUGCUAUAAAAAAUUAACAGAAAUUUAGUGGUUUAAGACAACAAAAUUUUAUUAUCUUUCAGUUCUGGAUGUCAGAGGUCCAACUUGAGUCUCACUGGGCUGAUGUCAAGAAGCCUGCAGAGCUGCUUUCUUCCUGGAGGCUCUAGGAGAGAUUCCGUUUUCCUGCCUUUGCCAGCUUCUAGCGGCCGCCUGUAUUCCUUGGCUCGCAUGACCCCUCUGAUACACAUCAGCAUCGUGAUGCUCCAGAGGGGAGGCAGUCCAUGAAAUGGUCUGAUUGCUGUAGAAUUCUUUUCAUGUAGCCAUCCACCCCAUUGUGAAAGAAGCAGCUGGAUAUCCAAGCAUCUUCCAAUACUCAGGCUUCAAGGUCCAAUAAUGUCCACUCCUCCCCAGGAAAAGCUGGCAUGCUGCUGACGUGGCCUCUCUACUCCUUUGUUUGCAGGCUUAGCUCACGUUCUCCUGUCCCAGCCCCUGGGCUUGCCAGUGAUGCCCAGAGGAUGAUGUGCCUGGUGGCUGAGCUCUUCCAGAACUAAAGACGUGCGGAUCCCUGAGUAUCCAUAACCAUCAAAGCAUGAAGUAAUGCCUUGUAAGUGGUGUCACCACACCUCCCAGAAGAAGGAUGGAUUCCUACCAGAAGCAGUCAAACAUAGUGCCGGAUCAUCUAAGUGAAACGGAUCCCCAUGGGUGCUGCUAUUGGGAUACCAAAGGUCUGAAGUUCAUCCAAUGCAAUAGCAGAAAUAAUUACAUCUGUGAGCAUGUGAGAAGAACCCUGAGUUAGUCCCAAGUGCAAAUCACCAUCUCCAACCAAUUCCUCCACCAAUUGAUGGAUGUUGGGGAGUGGGGUACAGCAACCCCUCCAAGUCCUUCCUCCCUCUAUAUAGCCCAGGAGACUCCCCUCCCACCAGCCUGGCCCCCAGAGUGCUGACUGGCAACAAUAUUCCAAGUUAAAAUAGUUUGCUAAAUAGUUAUACAAUUAGUUUACAAUUCAAAUAUAUCAGAGGAAAAGACAGGGAAAAAAAUUCUAAGAUACAUGAAUCCCAGACCAUUGCUCUCCAAAUAUUUUCAAGUGAUUCAUCUCCUUUAUUUAAAAAAUGAAUUAACCACCAGAUGGGACACUCAUACAUUCCUGAUGGUUGUAGGAAUCAGUAGACCCUGUAUGGAAAGCAAUAGGAUAAUAUUUCAUAGGAUCAAAUUAAAAUGUUCACAGCAUUGGUUCCAGGAAAUUGGCUUCUGGAGAAUUUAUACUCCAGAAACAAUUCAACAAAAGAACACAGCUCUGUGCAUGCAGAUGCUCAUUAGCCCAUCACCUAGAGUAAGGGAAAGUGGAGAUCCCAAUGAACAACAAUGAGAUGGGUUAGCGAACUGUGACCUAUCAGCCCAAUGGACAUUUAAGCAAUCACUGAAAAGUAGAAACAUGAAGAUAUUACACAACAUGGAAACUGUUUAUGGAGUAUAUUUAGGUAAAAAGGAAAAAAAGGCAGAACUGUAUAUCUGUGGUUGGAUAUACUUUUUUUUUUUUAAUAUUAAGCACCAACCAAAAGAAGAAAGGAGGAUAGAAAAAAUAAAAUGGAAGAUGUAGGGUGGGCAGAUUAGGGCUGCGUUUGUUGCUUGCUUUCAUGUUACCAUCAUAGCGUUUUUGCCACUUACAAAGGAGGAAAAAAAUCAAUUCUGUGCCAACCCAGACAACAGAGACCUGAGUGGGGGUUGGGAAGAGAGAUUUUUCAGCACAGAAUCAGACUCCUUCUCCAAAGAGCUGUGUGGCCUUCACCUGCAAGGCGACCUCUUCCACAAGCAGAGGCCAGGACAAAAAGAGGCACCUGUGAGCGACAAAGACGGUUUCCUUGGUUUCCCUCACGGCGCCAAGCGGAGUGGCCGCCUCCCACCACAGGGCCCCCUAAUGGGCGCUUUUGUCCUGCGGGGCAGAGGGACCUCAUUAGAAGGCGCUGGUGCUAAAGGGAAAUGCAUUUCCAGAACAGGAGGUUUCAUCAUUCCUAGCGUUAGCGACAGAAUGGUGACAGAAGCUCUGUGGACGUAUUUUCCAGCGUUCAGUUCACAUCAAGGAUGGGUAUGCACUGGCGGAAAAGGUCAGCUCGCAGAAUGAUCGCCCAUCCACACAGCGUUUGGAGGUCAGACGUUCCUGAUGACUGUGAAAAUGGGGAGGUGAGAAGAGGUCGUCAAAGGGAGCAGCCUUUUAAAGCCAGGUACAGGUUAAAGCCCUGAGGCCAGAGCCUUGCCCAGGCUCCUCUAGCGUGGAGAGCUCCCGCCUUACGGUACAGCUGGCACCUGCUGGUCCCCAGGGCCCUUCGCUGCGACUGCGGCAGACAACCUUGGCAAAGAUGCUGGGGACCGCCCGGGCUGGAAAACGUCGGCCUCUGGCGCUUGAGAAAGGCCAGGCGGACUCCUGCAAUACCCUCGGUAAACUGUCACCUGUCAAUCACUUGACCUAAAUACACCAGCCACUGGAGGAAGGGGAGGAGGGGGUUAGUCGGAGCAUGCUCAGUGAUCAGGAUGACAUCACUUAAUCAAUGCUGGGGACGGGAAGGCUGCAUCAGCAGCCUGGAGCAGGCUGCCAGGAACGUGUCAGCGGGGACCGGGAGGCUCCCAUUAACUCGGUCCCUCCCCACGCGGCUCGCAUACAAAGGGGGCACCAUCAGCCACACACGCUACGGACAGCGGGCGGGGAAGGGGCGGGGGACCGAGCUGGUUUGUUUCAUCUGACAGAUUCCUUUAAGAACUACAAUCC